rnacentral:rRNA from 1 species
AAUCAACGCUGGCGGCGUGCCUCAGACAUGCAAGUCGAACGCGAAAGUCCCCUUCGGGGGACAAGUAGAGUGGCGCACGGGUGAGUAACACGUAGGUAAUCUACCUUCGGAUGGGGAAUAACAACCGGAAACGGUUGCUAAUACCGCAUAAUGCAGCGGCACCUAAUGGUGACAGUUGUUAAAGCGGGGGAUCGAAAGACCUCGCGUCUGAAGAGGAGCCUGCGGCGGAUUAGCUAGNGGUAAGGUAAUGGCUUACCAAGGCGACGAUCCGUAGCCGGCCUG